AUGAUCUCUUACUUUCUAUUUUUAAUUUCUAUUUUCUAUUGUAAUUUGUGUAUGUGUAUCCAUGUUAUAAAAAAUAUUAUAAUUUACCUUCGGAGAUUCAUUGAUGAAAUAUUUUAUAUUAUUCCCUCUUCAAAGGUAUGUAAGGCAAAGUCGUUAAUUCCUUGGAUUUUGAACAUGGAAAAAUAUACUGUGAACCUUGGCAGAGGAUAUCUUACAGGGCAGGCCAACAAAAGUGGGAUGACAAAUGAAAAGUUUGAAGAGGUUUCCUCCAACAGACCGCUAAGCAUCUCCCACACCAUUGCACCAGACUGCAUGCACCCACCGGGGUUCAGAUCAGCCUUUAUGCUAGACAGAAGAUGUUAUCUUUUAUUUGCUGUUGUCAUUAAUUGUGGAAUUCUUUUUACUAUGUAUUUCUUGCUUUGGGAAGCAUAUUUCCAUUUCUCAUAUUUUGGUAUGGCACAUUAUAGGAAUUACAAGCACUGUAGGCAGAUUGUCAUACAUUUGGGAGAAUGCAGGUAAGAAAUUCCUUUAACAUUUGAGCUUAUCCGGGAAAAGAGACAGAGAGAGAGAGAGAGAGAUGUUGCAUUGUCUAAUUUUCUAUUGUUCCCAUGUUAAAAGGCAAAAUCACUCCUUAAAUUCUUUUUUAUUUUGCAAGAGAAUGCUACCAUAAAGAAUAAAAAUGAUAAGCAGAGAACUCA
rnacentral:lncRNA from 1 species